ensembl:lncRNA
AGCUCCCUCCUCUCUGCAAGUGUCUCAAGGCCAAAGACAGACUGGUGGGAAAGUUCCGACCAGCAAAGCCAUAUGCUCCCCCUCCCCUACCUAAAACCCCAAAUAAAAACACUUCCUUUUAGCUUUUUCGGGGAGUUUGGGAUUUCAGCGUUAGCUGCCCUCUCUCCUUGCUCAGCGCUGUGCAAAAAUAAAGUUCCUACUUUCUUCCACCACCCCUGGUGUCAGAGAUUGGCUUGCUGUGCAACGGAGUAAAAAUCUGAACACUUGAAUUUUCUUGGGUGCCCAUGGAACAGCCUUUCUCUUGAGAUUCAGUGCCUACCUUCUGCCUUGAACUGCAGCUAAAGGAAAUGCUUUCUACUUCCCGUGAGAUGCUUCCAGGAAACUUUUGCUGAACAGUAACCAGUUGGUGUGAGCUCUUCUGGAGCCAUCCUCAUGCUGAAAGUAACUUGGUUGUCCCAUUUCGGUGUGUGAGAGAUGGCAGAAUGCCUACUUCCCUUCCCUCAGGUCACUUAUGGCUUAUAUUGUAGCUCUCAGAAGGAAUGUCUGUAAGGGACUGUCUUGCAACACUAAAGGGGAUUCUUCUGACUGUGGGGUAAAACAACAGUGUUCACUUGAGAAGACCUGUAAAGAGAGAGGCGCUGUCUCUGUUCUUCUACCUGGGACAGCAGUUCCAACCUGGAGAGCUCUCUGAUAGUGUACUCCACACCGACACCUCAGGGCACUUGGACAGAUCAAAGAGACAGUGCGCUUGCCAUGAAUUCCAGCCUCCUCAGCAUGACUAUAGCUGCAGAGGUAUUGAUCCCUAGGCACUCCCUAACAAACGUCCAUCUCAGAGUCUGCUUAAUACAGAACCCAACCUGGGAAACUCCGAAUUGACUUGCAGCCUGCAGAGGAGAAGACAGAAGAGGUCACCCAUGGAAGAGAAAAGGAACAUGGAGAAGAGAGCGAAAAGAAGACUUAUUCAGGGGAGCCGUGGAAAAAGAAGUGAAUUACCAUUCCAGGAUUGGUGACAUGUUUAGCCCCCAGAGCAGUAUUGUCCAAUAGCAACAUACUGUGAGCCACAAAUACAAGCUCUCCAAGGGAUUUUAAAUUUUCUAGUAGGCACAUUAAAAAAGUAAGAAGAAACCCAUUAUAUUCAACGUGUUUUCAUUUUAAUAUGCAAUCAAUACAACCCUUUUUAAUGACAAAUUUUACAUCAUUUUUUUUUCUGUGCUAAAUACUUGGAAUUUGGUGUGCAUUUUAUAUUUGCAGCACAUCUCAGUUGGGUUUAGCCACAUUUCAAGUGCUCAAAGGCCACAAAUGACUAGUGGCUGCUGUACUGGACAACGUAACUCUAAGAGACUCCACUUCUCUUUUUAUUCAGUUUUUUGGGAGAUAAAUAAAUUCCUCAGAAAAAGCAGUGAGGGUUGAUAAAGGAUGCUUGACUAAGAG